UCUGGUUAUAAAAUGCAGUCAAUCACAUAAGUUAUAACAGAAACAUACAAAAUUGUAUAACAAAAUAGCUGUUCUAGUUACAAAAAUGGAGAUGUUUACAUAGGUUAUAAUAGUCUGGGCUUG